rnacentral:lncRNA from 1 species
CAAUUCCUCUUUCACCAAAACAGACGCUCCCCUUUCACCUCUCCAUUGUCGCUUUCAAUCUCUGCCAUGGCAGAGCUCUCUCUUGGCUUUUUUCCUCCAUUUUUGGCCAAGUCUUGACCUUUAAAUCCCUACGCGCCAGAGCGUAUCUCACCAUUUCAGGUAUAACCUGAAGCUUAUCACUGAAGAAUCACGUGAAGAUUGAAUCCAUACAAAAGGCUUCAACGUUAAAAUUCAAACGGAUGCGUUUGACUUCUUUUGAAAUCUGAAUUUCAAAUUCCCGCUCAAAGGAACCAAGAACCCUAAUUUUACACCUAUAAAUACCAGACUUUGUGGCUAUUUUCAGCACCUUUUGGACCGCCCCUUCUAUCUCCCUUAACCCUCACUGUUUGGCUAACUAUUCAUAGUUUAUCUCCCUCCUUACUCUCUUAAAAUCUAGCUUUAAGUUUCUCUGCCUUUUGACCUUUAUUUAGUCUAUAGCCUUGCCAAAGCUUUCAUUUUUAUUUGUGUCGGCAUUUGACGAUCUUCCAAAAGAGUUGAGCCAAAGCCGGAGAUAGAUCUUCUUGACGACGCCCCAUUCACUGCCCACAAAAAGGUCAGCGACUUUAAAAUUUCUUCUUCUUGUUUUCUUCUGCUAGACUUGAAGUAAAUGUUUCACUUUGGUUUUAAAAAACGUGUGUUAUAGUUUAUUUUCCAUGAAGAAAGUGUGAUUUGAAGUCUGUCUGUGCAUAGAAAUCAUAUGUAGGGAUUGUGUGUAUUAUGACUUAAUUGAAUAGGAACACAAGGUGUCGACUAAGUACUUUUAUAAUGGUUAAUAAAUAAUUGUUAAUCUUAAGGCUCUUGCUUAAAACACUACUAUAUGUGCUUUUUUUGUUUCAAAUGAUAAGUUAGAGUAUUUGUUUCUUUUCCAGCAUGUAUAAAGUUAAAUUUUGUCUCUAUUCCAUAGGUCAAAACUAUGGCUUAGGUACCUUUUUCAUGUGUUCGAGAGACGGCGCUUUAAGUUUACUGUUUCUCUAGUUUAAAUAUCAUAAGAAGAAUGAUGUUAUUAAUUACCUCCAUGUCUAGUUGAAUGAUCUCAUUAUUUAGUAGAUAUUUUAAAGAACCAGCUUUAAACAGAUUUUUGUAUCUAAAGAAUCAUAAAGUUUUGCUGGUUAGAUUUUGUAUACAAGUUGAGAUCGUGCUUAUGGUUGACUUAUCUCAUAGCUUAGCUUGAAUAACGUUUUAACAAAGCGCUAGUGUAUUUAGUCCUUAACUUGUGUAUUUGACUUAUUACAUCUAGUUAAACAUAAGGAAUAUUAUCAUAAUGGUGUUUCUUUGCAAGCAGUUUGAUAUGAUAAAGUUAUAACAACUGUUACUGAGCCUGAAUUUGAAGUCAUAAUUUUUACAUACUUGCGACUAGGAUUAAGAAUGAAGGUUGGGAUUAAAUAGUUCAAAUAUCAAUUUGAUGCCUAAUGACUGUCUUUACAAAGCUAAGUUGAUGUCUAAAUAUGGCUCUAUACAUUUCUUGAAAAGUACAGUAGCUUAGUUACAGUUUCUUUGCUGUUCAUAUUGUAGAGGAUAAUAGCCAUAAUUAGAAGCUAUAUUUUUAGGAUUUUAUUUGAGAGUUUAGAUACCAUGCUCAUAGGUUUAAUGUUUAUUUCUUGGAACUGAAUAGCUUUGCAGGUUUUGAGUAUAAUUUAAGUUUUAUUUUAUAAACUAGAAGUCUCGGAUUAAGAAGUGAAUCUCCAUGAAGUUACAUGUGCAUUAUGUUAUCUGUAAUCUAUAGUUUAUUUCUUAAAAAAGCCCAAACCAUGAGUUAGAUUCUUGGUUUAUGAAUACUCCUGAUAUUCUUGCAUACCAUGUCCUCUGAAAAGUAUAUCAUAUGGCUUUGAUAAAGGAAUGACAUCUGACUCAAACGCGUUGGACUUUGUUGGGCUAAACUCUAUUUUCCUUGGUAUUUUGUUAGAUCUCAAACUUGUUUUUGCCCUUCUCGAAUAUUAAUUUAGUGUCUCAAAUGCAUGCUUAUUUAUUACGACAACAACAACAACCCAAUAUAAUCCCAUUAGUGGGGUCUGAAGAGGGUAGUGUGUACGCAAACCUUACCCUUACCCUGGAGUAAAGAGGCUAUUUCCGAUAGACCCUCGUCCCCCCUCCAAGAACUCCCCACCUUGCUCUUGGGGUGACUUGAACUCACAACCUCUUUGGUUGGAAGUGGAGGGUGCUCACCACUAGAGCAACCCACUCUUGUCAAACAUCGUUUACGUAGAUUACAUAUCUAAUCUUUUUCUCUAUUCUUUGUCUUGCAUAUGCACUUGGAGCAAAAAUGGAGUCUCACCAAUACUACCAAGCAUGGAGUCAUCACAUCCCAUAUCAUCCUCCUUAGAAUGCACCGGAUAGCAAGAAAAAGAAACAAGCGAAACGCUUGGGGGGUGUCUAUGGCAUCCUUUUCUUUUAUUUGUAUCUAAUCUUUUAAUGAUUGUUGAUCUAUUUAUCUGUUUGUUGUUUAUCUCAACUGUGGAUUUAAUCAUCUAGGUUCUCUGCUCUCUAGUAUUUAUAUAAUCUUUAGGCAU